GUUCACUCAAAACGUGUUUGACCUAUUCGAUAGCGAUCAAGAUGGUGAAAUUGAUAUCGGCGACCUUACGAGCAGUUUGGACCUACUUGAACGGUAAACAAUUUUCUUUCCUUUCCGAAAAAGCAAUAACUUAGUUAGUUCUGCCAUUUUCCUGUUCAUAUUGGUUUGUGCUUUAUUUAGUUUUUUGAUCAGUUAAUUUAUUAGCACAGUAAUGUGUUUUACGAUUCUCCAAUAAAUCAUGGAAUCUGGAAUACUUGGGAACAUAGCCUACAGAUUGUCAAAAAUUCCAGUGGCAUUGAUUUCCAACAGCGAUUUUUUAGCCUGUUUUCAUUAUUGAGGAAAAUUUUAUUGCAUUCAAGAGAGCAUAAUGUGCUUUGUGAUUUUGUGAUUUUGAUAUUUAUUUUUGUAUACUGUGCUGUGUUUCUGUAUGUAGAUCAUCAACGGAUACAAAGUGGUUCUUGUGGAUUGAAGAAAGGUUCAAUAUUUCUGUGGCUGAAGACCUUAAAAUAACCUUUCAUCAUUUCAAGAAAGCAUUGCAUCUGGACAAG
rnacentral:lncRNA from 1 species